UGCAAGUCGAACGGGAAAUACUUUAUUGAAACUUCGGUGGAUUUAAUUUAUUUCUAGUGGCGGACGGGUGAGUAACGCGUGGGUAACCUGCCUUAUACUGGGGGAUAACAGCCAGAAAUGACUGCUAAUACCGCAUAAGCGCACAGAACCGCAUGGUUCGGUGUGAAAAACUCCGGUGGUAUAAGAUGGACCCGCGUUGGAUUAGCUAGUUGGCAGGGCAGCGGCCUACCAAGGCGACGAUCCAUAGCCGGCCUGAGAGGGUGAACGGCCACAUUGGGACUGAGACACGGCCCAGACUCCUACGGGAGGCAGCAGUGGGGAAUAUUGCACAAUGGGGGAAACCCUGAUGCAGCGACGCCGCGUGAAGGAAGAAGUAUCUCGGUAUGUAAACUUCUAUCAGCAGGGAAGAUAAUGACGGUACCUGACUAAGAAGCCCCGGCUAACUACGUGCCAGCAGCCGCGGUAAUACGUAGGGGGCAAGCGUUAUCCGGAUUUACUGGGUGUAAAGGGAGCGUAGACGGCGCAGCAAGUCUGAUGUGAAAGGCAGGGGCUUAACCCCUGGACUGCAUUGGAAACUGCUGUGCUUGAGUGCCGGAGGGGUAAGCGGAAUUCCUAGUGUAGCGGUGAAAUGCGUAGAUAUUAGGAGGAACACCAGUGGCGAAGGCGGCUUACUGGACGGUAA
rnacentral:rRNA from 1 species